GGCUACCUAGCGCAAUGGUAGCGCGUUUGGCUUCGAUUGCUGAACUUACCAAAAGGUUGCAGGUUCGAGUCCUGCGGUGGUCA
rnacentral:tRNA from 1 species